rnacentral:lncRNA from 13 species
GUUUUAAUGACUGAAAGAUUAUAGCCUCCCACCUCCACCACUGUAUGUGAUUCCAAAUAAAAAUAUUAAUUGUCAGGCCCGGUGUGGUGGCUCAUGGCUAUAUUCCCAACCCUUUCGGAGUCUGAGGUGAGAGGAUCACUUGAGCCCAGGAGUUCAAGACCAGCCCACGCAACAUAGCAAGAUCUCAUCUCUACAAAAAGUUAUAAAAUUAGCUGGGCAGUGUGACAUGCACCUGUAAUCUUAGCUACUUGACUAGGUGGAAACAUCCCUUGAGCCCAGGAGUUUGAGGUGGAAAUAUCUCUUGAGCCCAGGAGUUUGAGGUUGCAGUGAGUUCUCAUGGCAUCCCUGCACUCCAGCCUGGGUGGCAGAGUGAGAUUCUGUCUCUAAAAACAACAACAGGGGGGAGGACUCAAGAUGGCGCUGUGAGAACAACCCAGGAUUGGAGCUCUCGUUGAAUCUGCAAACAGGGACAUGGAUGAAUCUGGAGAACGUCAUCCUCAGCAAAUUGACACAAGAACAGAAAAUGAAACACCGCAUAUUCUCACUCAUAGGCUGGAGUGCAGUGGUGUGAUCUCGCCUCACUGCAACCGCUGCCUCCCAGAUUCAAGUGAUUCUCCUGCCUCACCCUCCCAAGUAGCUGGGACUACAGGUUCAGUGAAGAGGACAAGUCCUACCUUCUGGGAUCUCUUUUACUACUCCUUGAACCUGAGGCUAUGGCACCCUGCUACCACCUGGUGGCAGCAGACCCCAGUCACGGGGUCCACUGUUAGGCAAGACGACUCCUUUACAAAGAUUAUGGACAGAAAGACAACCAGACUUGAGGCGCCUCCUGAUGGAAUGCACAGCACCGUCUUGGUUUAGCCUUGUUAAAAAACCUAAAUCCAAUUAAGGCUCUAGAUCCAACUACCAGUUUACAGGAAAUAUAAGAGAGAAAGGAACAUGCUCAACAACAUCAGGCAGCAAAAUCCACACUGGAAAACUACAGGACAAAUAUCUAGUUUCCUACAAAUAAAUAAAUGUAAGGAAAAGAAAAAGUUGGAAGG